rnacentral:lncRNA from 1 species
UGGAACUAUUACAAGCAUGAAGAAGAGGUGGUGAGAUGGUCCUGCUGACCCCAGGGCAGAUGGCAUUGACAAAGCUGUAUGUGGAAGGUAGGAGAGACAUGGAUACAUCUCAACAGAGCCCAUGAUGGGUACAGAACACUGAGACACUAGGGACAAGGUUUCUGAAGUACCACAUGCCUGAUGUUCCUUCUCUGCCCUGGAGGAGACCAGAAGAUGAAAAGCUUUCUGCGGACCUUCCAAUCUCCUCUUGAAUCGUGCCACAUCCUGCAGAUGUCCCUAGGCAGGACCCUUAACCUUGCUAAGCCUGUUUGUCAACUCCUAUGUAAGUCCAGUGAGACUCAUUUCUCAGGAUUAGACAAUGUCUGCCUGACAUCUAGAAGCAACUAGGUGCUUGCUACUGUGAGAGCCACAGCCUAUGGCUUAGUUCUGUUUCUUUCUUACCAUGAGACUUGGACUGGUUAUUUAACCCUAUGGAGCUUCAAUUCCCUCAUAAAUAUGAUGGGAAAACCAUAAUGUGUAAUAGGGCUCUUGAACGAAAUCUUUGGAAAGAAAAUAUAACAAGCUGGAAGCUUUACUUUUUCCCUGUUGGAGGAGACUCAAAACAUUGAGUUUUCUCUCUCUAGUGAUGUCUAUGCCAAUCAUCAGGCUCUUGCUCUGCCUCCACACUUCCUUGUUUUAGCAAAACUCAGGAGUUCCUUUAAGAAGAAGCUUCAAAGCUCCACCUCUGGCCUUUGGGAGUCUGGAGGACCUAGCUUCAGGAUUCCCCUUUCCUCCUAAGAAGCCUAAUCUACCCUGAAGCUGCCCUCUGGGCCAGAAGCAACCAGAGGCCUCUCUGCCCUCAGCUGUGCAUGGCAGAGAUAGAUCAGAGACAAGAGAACCAAGCAGAAGACCCCUCAGGAGCAUUUGACAACUUCCUUUCUAUAGGAUUCGAAGAGGCCAAAAGUGCCUACAGGCAUGGGAUAGAGUGCUAAGAAACAGGAUGACUGGACAGGCAAGAGAAGAAAACCCAGGUUCCCUUUGAUACUUCUGAGGGUUUGCAUGUGGAUACCAAUCUCCAUGUUAGAGAUUAAUGGGGCAAAGCAAUGCACAGCUGCAAAGAACCACAUAAGAACCACAGUUUGAGGUUCAGGAUGGGGUUGUACUGUGUUCUCUGCAAGCACAUCGAGUCCUCUCUGGAUCUAUGAAUACCAUUCAUUUGGAGAAAGGGUCUUGGAAGGUGGUCCCAAUUAAAAUGAGGUCAUUAGUAUGAGUCCUAAUCUCAUAUACCUGUGCUCCUAAGAAAUACGAAAUUUUUCCCUAGGGCUUAAGGCAUACCUGGGAAGAAUGAUACAUGAAAAUGAAGGCAGGAGAUCAGUUGACAGGUCUAUGGACCAAAGAAUAGCAAGGAUUAUCAACAAGUUCCCAGAAGCCAGAGAGAAUCAGAGAAACAUCUGACUCUGUCCCCAGAAGCAUUCAACACCACUAAACAUGAUCUAGGACUUACUACAUCAGAAAUGAAAGACAACUUUCUGUUGUUUAAGACAUUCAACCUGUGGUCCUUGUUAUAGCCGUCACAACAAUAAAUACAAGGUCUUCGGGAUUCCAGUGUCUACUGAAGACCAGCCGAGAUGCCCAUCUUCAUGAACUGAAAAACUACUGGAUUCCUGGACCAGUAGACAGCCAUUGUUGGGCUAGCUAGACCACAGCCUGGAAGACACUCUAAUAAAUCCCCCUUUUAUGUCUCU